GUAAGAAUCUUCCGCAAUGGGCGCAAGCCUGACGGAGCGACGCCGCGUGGACGAAGAAUGCCGAGAGGUUGUAAAGUCCUUUUAUAUGCGAAGAAUAAUACGGGUAGGAAAUGACCUGUAGAUGACGUUAGCUUAUGAAUAAGCUCCGGCCAAUUAC
rnacentral:rRNA from 1 species